rnacentral:rRNA from 1 species
CCUACGGGUGGCAGCAGUGGGGAAUAUUGCACAAUGGGGGAAACCCUGAUGCAGCGACGCCGCGUGAGUGAAGAAGUCAUUCGUUAUGUAAAGCUCUAUCAGCAGGGAAGAAAAUGACGGUACCUGAGUAAGAAGCCCCGGCUACCUACGUGCCAGCAGCCGCGGUAAUACGUAGGGGGCAAGCGUUAUCCGGAUUUACUGGGUGUAAAGGGAGCGUAGACGGCAGUGCAAGUCUGGAGUGAAAGGCGGGGGCUCAACCGCAGAACUGCAUUUGAAACUGUUGAUCUGGAGUACGGGAGAGGCAGACGGAAUUCCUAGUGUAGCGGUGAAAUGCGUAGAUAUUAGGAGGAACACCAGUGGCGAAGGCGGUCUGCUGGACAGCAACUGACGGUGAGGCGCGAAAGCGUGGGGAGCAAACAGGAUUAGAUACCCCGGUAGUC